UAACCUGCCUGGUAGCGGGGGAUAACUAUUGGAAACGAUAGCUAAUACCGCAUAACAGUAGAUGUUGCAUGACAUUUACUUGAAAGGUGCAAAUGCACCACUACCAGAUGGACCUGCGUUGUAUUAGCUAGUUGGUGAGGUAACGGCUCACCAAGGCGACGAUACAUAGCCGACCUGAGAGGGUGAUCGGCCACACUGGGACUGAGACACGGCCCAG
rnacentral:rRNA from 1 species